AAAUGAAAUCACAAAUUCACACAAGACUAGGGCUUGUGCCGCGACUUGCUUCUUUCUCUGUUAAUCUGUCUGCGCCGCGACCUCCUUCUUUCUGGUUUCUGCCAUUCCGGUUCCGGCGAUUCCAGCCACCUCCGACAUCCCAGCCGCCGCAGCCGCAGCAGUCGCGUUCAGCCUCCCAGGCCCCAGCAGCCCAGGCCACAGGGUCGCACUAGCAGGUCUAGCACCAGCCCAUUCCGGCGAUUCCAGCCACCGCCGUCUCCCAGCCGUCUCCCAGCACCAGCACCUCAACUCCGGCGGCCACACCAGCACGACAAGACACGCCCUUGACUCCGGCGACCACGCCAACACGGCUUCUAUAGUUCUACUUCUUGAAAGAUGGAGAGAGUUGAAGAUGGAUCACAAUCUAUCACACAACAAGUUAGUAAUAGUCUUGGUCUGCUUGGAAUUGAAGACGAUGAUAUGUUUGAGGAAGUUGAAAUACGUGAACUCAAAGAAGACGCACGUGAAGAAGAUCACAACUUAUUAGAAUUGUUCUUUUUUUUUAAUAUAAAAUUACAAGUCUCUAUAAAAAAAUAUUUGUUCUAAAUAAUCACAAGUUAUGAGUUGGUGGAGUGGAUAAGACCCCAUUCUUUCUUUCAAA